UCAAGUCAGUGGUGAAAGCCCGCAGCUCAACUGCGGAAGUGCCAUUGAAACUGGCAGUCUUGAGUCCCGGAGGGGCCAUCGGAAUUCGUGGUGUAGCGGUGAAAUGCGUAGAGAUCUGGAGGAAUACCGGUGGCGAAGGCGGCCCCCUGGACAAAGACUGACGCUCAGGUGCGAAAGCGUGGGGAGCAAACAGGAUUAGAUACCCUGGUAGUCCACGCCGUAAACGAUGUCGACUUGGAGGUUGUGCCCUUGAGGCGUGGCUUCCGGAGCUAACGCGUUAAGUCGACCGCCUGGGGAGUACGGCCGCAAGGUUAAAACUCAAAUGAAUUGACGGGGGCCCGCACAAGCGGUGGAGCAUGUGGUUUAAUUCGAUGCAACGCGAAGAACCUUACCUACUCUUGACAUCCAGAGAACUUAGCAGAGAUGCUUUGGUGCCUUCGGGAACUCUGAGACAGGUGCUGCAUGGCUGUCGUCAGCUCGUGUUGUGAAAUGUUGGGUUAAGUCCCGCAACGAGCGCAACCCUUAUCCUUUGUUGCCAGCGGUUAGGCCGGGAACUCAAAGGAGACUGCCAGUGAUAAACUGGAGGAAGGUGGGGAUGACGUCAAGCCAUCAUGGCCCUUACGAGUAGGGCUACACACGUGCUACAAUGGCGCAUACAAAGAGAAGCGACCUCGCGAGAGCAAGCGGACCUCAUAAAGUGCGUCGUAGUCCGGAUUGGAGUCUGCAACUCGACUCCAUGAAGUCGGAAUCGCUAGUAAUCGUAGAUCAGAAUGCUACGGUGAAUACGUUCCCGGGCCUUGACACACCGCCCGAAUCCCCGGCCAGCGGCUGAUCGCUGACUGGG
rnacentral:rRNA from 1 species